CCUGGACUCUGUUGUGUCAUUACAACUGGUCUGAAAUGUGUGAGUGCACCCUGCUGUUGCAGCGUCUUCAGUGUGAUAAGCAUCUUCACUGGAUCAAGUUCCUUUGGGCACGUGCAAUGUGGGCUCUGUGCUGGCAAACUGUCUUUGGACAAUCUUGACAAUUUGACCUCAGAUCGGGUGGGACUACCCGCUGAACUUAA
rnacentral:misc_RNA from 1 species